rnacentral:rRNA from 1 species
GAGGAGCUUGCUCCUCUGAUUUAGCGGCGGACGGGUGAGUAACACGUGGGUAACCUGCCUGUAAGACGGGGAUAACUUCGGGAAACCGAAGCUAAUACCGGAUAAUAAAGAGAAACUCCUGUUUCUUUUUUGAAAGUCGGUUUCGGCUGACGCUUACAGAUGGGCCCGCGGCGCAUUAGCUAGUUGGUGAGGUAACGGCUCACCAAGGCCACGAUGCGUAGCCGACCUGAGAGGGUGAUCGGCCACACUGGGACUGAGACACGGCCCAGACUCCUACGGGAGGCAGCAGUAGGGAAUCUUCGGCAAUGGACGAAAGUCUGACCGAGCAACGCCGCGUGAGCGAUGAAGGCCUUCGGGUCGUAAAGCUCUGUUGUCAGAGAAGAACAAGUACCGGAGUAACUGCCGGUACCUUGACGGUACCUGACCAGAAAGCCACGGCUAACUACGUGCCAGCAGCCGCGGUAAUACGUAGGUGGCAAGCGUUAUCCGGAAUUAUUGGGCGUAAAGCGCGCGCAGGCGGUUCCUUAAGUCUGAUGUGAAAGCCCACGGCUCAACCGUGGAGGGUCAUUGGAAACUGGGGAACUUGAGUGCAGGAGAGAAAAGUGGAAUUCCACGUGUAGCGGUGAAAUGCGUAGAGAUGUGGAGGAACACCAGUGGCGAAGGCGGCUUUUUGGCCUGUAACUGACGCUGAGGCGCGAAAGCGUGGGGGAGCAAACAGGAUUAGAUACCCUGGUAGUCCACGCCGUAAAC